GACGAACGCUGGCGGCGCGCUUAACACAUGCAAGUCGAGCGAAGCGGCGGUCGGGUGAGUAACACGUGAGUAACCUGCCUUCGACAUUGGGAUAGCCUCGGGAAACCGGGAUUAAUACCAAAUGGUCUAAGAUGGACUCGCGUCCCAUUAGCUAGUUGGUGAGGUAACGGCCCACCAAGGCGAAGAUGGGUAGCCGGCCUGAGAGGGUGAGCGGCUACAUCGGAACUGAGAAGCAGUCCAAACUAUACGGGAGGCAGCAGUGGGGAAUAUUGCACAAUGGAGGGAACUCUGAUGCAGCUACGCCGCGUGAACGAAGAAGGCUGUCGAGUCGUAAAGUUCUUUUAUAUGGGAAGCGGUACCAUAAGAAAAAGCCCCGGCUAACUACGUGCCAGCAGCCGCGGUAAUUC
rnacentral:rRNA from 1 species